rnacentral:rRNA from 1 species
CCUACGGGAGGCAGCAGUGAGGAAUAUUGGUCAAUGGGCUUACGCCUGAACCAGCCAAGUCGCGUGAGGGAAGACUGCCCUAUGGGUUGUAAACCUCUUUUGUCAGGGAGCAACGCCGGCUACGUGUAGCCGGACUGAGAGUACCUGAAGAAAAAGCAUCGGCUAACUCCGUGCCAGCAGCCGCGGUAAUACGGAGGAUGCGAGCGUUAUCCGGAUUUAUUGGGUUUAAAGGGUGCGUAAGCGGAAUGCCAAGUCAGCGGUAAAAUCGCGGGGCUCAACCUCGCUCCGCCGUUGAAACUGGCGGUCUUGAGUGGGCGAGAAGUAUGCGGAAUGCGUGGUGUAGCGGUGAAAUGCAUAGAUAUCACGCAGAACUCCGAUUGCGAAGGCAGCAUACCGGCGCCCAACUGACGCUGAAGCACGAAAGCGUGGGUAUCGAACAGGAUUAGAUACCCCUGUAGUC